rnacentral:rRNA from 1 species
CGCUAGCUACAGGCUUAACACAUGCAAGUCGAGGGGCAGCAUGGUCUUAGCUUGCUAAGGCUGAUGGCGACCGGCGCACGGUGAGUAACGCGUAUCCAACCUUCCCCUAGUAGGGCAUAGCCCGGCGAAAGUCGGAUUAACACCCUAUGUUUUUCCGUUGCGGGCAUCUAAUAUGGAACAAAGAUUUAUCGCUAAAGGGAUGGGGGAUGCGUCUGAUUAGGUAGUAGGCGGGGUAACGGCCCACCUAGCCUUCGAUCAGUAGGGGUUCUGAGAGGAAGGUCCCCCACAUUGGAACUGAGACACGGUCCAAACUCCUACGGGAGGCAGCAGUGAGGAAUAUUGGUCAAUGGCCGAGAGGCUGAACCAGCCAAGUAGCGUGCCAGGACGACGGCCCUAUGGGUUGUAAACUGCUUUUAUGCGGGGAUAAAGUCGCCCACGUGUGGGUGUUUGCAGGUACCGCAUGAAUAAGGACCGGCUAAUUCCGUGCCAGCAGCCGC